UGCCUGUGACAGCGGCUGCAUUCUGAUAAUAAUAUUGUACUUCACUUUUCCUUUUAUUUUUUCAACCAACCAUAAAAAUGGAUGAAAAGAUCGUUCGACUUGCCGAUGAAGGAUACGUUUCUGCUCUUAUAAAAACACUUGCUGAAGUACAACUCGAGGAGCUUGGAAAAUUUUAGAAAAAAGGAACUCUUAAAGAAACGGCAGACACAGUCAAUUUUAUUCGAGCUGUAUUGAAAGAAGAAAGCCUGUGCUUUACAAGUCGUAACAUCUCACUUGUGAUAUAAGAUUACAAAGACAAGCCAUAUGGGUACGGGACCAAACUCGCAGAUUACAGAUUGGCACUGCUGAAAGGUCUAAGAAUAUAAGAACUUACAACUUUCCACAGGAUCGUGUAACAGAUCAUCGGAUGGGUUUAAGCUUACAUGGAGUAAAGGAAUUCCUUAAAG